rnacentral:rRNA from 1 species
UACGUAGGGUGCAAGCGUUGUCCGGAAUUAUUGGGCGUAAAGAGCUCGUAGGCGGCUUGUUACGUCGACUGUGAAAACCCGGGGCUCAACCCCGGGCCUGCAGUCGAUACGGGCUGGCUUGAGUGCGGUAGGGGAGACUGGAAUUCCUGGUGUAGCGGUGAAAUGCGCAGAUAUCAGGAGGAACACCGGUGGCGAAGGCGGGUCUCUGGGCCGUAACUGACGCUGAGGAGCGAAAGCGUGGGGAGCGAACAGG